UACGUAGGGUGCGAGCGUUAAUCGGAAUUACUGGGCGUAAAGCGUGCGCAGGCGGUUCGUGAUGUCUGAUGUGAAAGCCCCGGGCUCAACCUGGGAACUGCAUUGGAAACUAGCGGGCUGGAGUGUGGCAGAGGGGGGUGGAAUUCCACGUGUAGCAGUGAAAUGCGUAGAGAUGUGGAGGAACACCAAUGGCGAAGGCAGAUCUCUGGGCCGUAACUGACGCUGAGGAGCGAAAGCAUGGGGAGCGAACAGG
rnacentral:rRNA from 1 species